GCUUAACACAUGCAAGUCGAACGGAAAGGCCCUGCUUUUGUGGGGUGCUCGAGUGGCGAACGGGUGAGUAACACGUGAGUAACCUGCCCUUGACUUUGGGAUAACUUCAGGAAACUGGGGCUAAUACCGGAUAGGAGCUCCUGCUGCAUGGUGGGGGUUGGAAAGUUUCGGCGGUUGGGGAUGGACUCGCGGCUUAUCAGCUUGUUGGUGGGGUAGUGGCUUACCAAGGCUUUGACGGGUAGCCGGCCUGAGAGGGUGACCGGCCACAUUGGGACUGAGAUACGGCCCAGACUCCUACGGGAGGCAGCAGUGGGGAAUAUUGCACAAUGGGCGGAAGCCUGAUGCAGCAACGCCGCGUGCGGGAUGACGGCCUUCGGGUUGUAAACCGCUUUCGCCUGUGACGAAGCGUGAGUGACGGUAAUGGGUAAAGAAGCACCGGCUAACUACGUGCCAGCAGCCGCGGUGAUACGUAGGGUGCGAGCGUUGUCCGGAUUUAUUGGGCGUAAAGGGCUCGUAGGUGGUUGAUCGCGUCGGAAGUGUAAUCUUGGGGCUUAACCCUGAGCGUGCUUUCGAUACGGGUUGACUUGAGGAAGGUAGGGGAGAAUGGAAUUCCUGGUGGAGCGGUGGAAUGCGCAGAUAUCAGGAGGAACACCAGUGGCGAAGGCGGUUCUCUGGGCCUUUCCUGACGCUGAGGAGCGAAAGCGUGGGGAGCGAACAGGCUUAGAUACCCUGGUAGUCCACGCUGUAAACGGUGGGUACUAGGUGUGGGGUCCAUUCCACGGGUUCCGUGCCGUAGCUAACGCUUUAAGUACCCCGCCUGGGGAGUACGGCCGCAAGGCUAAAACUCAAAGGAAUUGACGGGGCCCCGCACAAGCGGCGGAGCAUGCGGAUUAAUUCGAUGCAACGCGUAGAACCUUACCUGGGUUUGACAUGGAUCGGGAGUGCUCAGAGAUGGGUGUGCCUCUUUUGGGGUCGGUUCACAGGUGGUGCAUGGCUGUCGUCAGCUCGUGUCGUGAGAUGUUGGGUUAAGUCCCGCAACGAGCGCAACCCUUGUUCACUGUUGCCAGCACGUUAUGGUGGGGACUCAGUGGAGACCGCCGGGGUCAACUCGGAGGAAGGUGGGGAUGACGUCAAGUCAUCAUGCCCCUUAUGUCCAGGGCUUCACGCAUGCUACAAUGGCUGGUACAGAGAGUGGCGAGCCUGUGAGGGUGAGCGAAUCUCGGAAAGCCGGUCUCAGUUCGGAUUGGGGUCUGCAACUCGACCUCAUGAAGUCGGAGUCGCUAGUAAUCGCAGAUCAGCAACGCUGCGGUGAAUACGUUCCCGGGGCU
rnacentral:rRNA from 1 species